CACCCGGGGGAUUGGCCUUAGUAACGGCGAGUGAAGCGGCAAAAGCUCAAAUUUGAAAUCUGGUACCUUCGGUGCCCGAGUUGUAAUUUGGAGAGGGCAACUUUGGGGCCGUUCCUUGUCUAUGUUCCUUGGAACAGGACGUCAUAGAGGGUGAGAAUCCCGUGUGGCGAGGAGUGCGGUUCUUUGUAAAGUGCCUUCGAAGAGUCGAGUUGUUUGGGAAUGCAGCUCUAAGUGGGUGGUAAAUUCCAUCUAAAGCUAAAUAUUGGCGAGAGACCGAUAGCGAACAAGUACAGUGAUGGAAAGAUGAAAAGAACUUUGAAAAGAGAGUGAAAAAGUACGUGAAAUUGUUGAAAGGGAAGGGCAUUUGAUCAGACAUGGUGUUUUGUGCCCUCUGCUCCUUGUGGGUAGGGGAAUCUCGCAUUUCACUGGGCCAGCAUCAGUUUUGGUGGCAGGAUAAAUCCAUAGGAAUGUAGCUUGCCUCGGUAAGUAUUAUAGCCUGUGGGAAUACUGCCAGCUGGGACUGAGGACUGCGACGUAAGUCAAGGAUGCUGGCAUAAUGGUUAUAUGCCGCCCGUCUUGAACCACCGGACCC
rnacentral:rRNA from 1 species